rnacentral:sRNA from 1 species
CAAUUCAGUUGAGCUCUGCUGACUCUGAAUGAAAACAUCAAACUACUAAGAAGAGGAGUUGAAUGAAAGCGAUUAAGAUAUAGAUGCAAUCAAUGCUUACGAGAUCUCUAACAGAAGAUCAUACAGACACGGAUAGAGUGAUAAAGAAGGCCAUGAAUCAAUAUCAUAUCAAAUCAGUGUAAAAUUCCAUUAAUAGUUUGUGGCGUUUUUGGCGUUUUGAGUAACAGGAACGAACUUUUGAAGUGCACCUCCAUACAAAGGGCAGGUUUUUUUUAAAAGUUCUUCCCUCCCCUUUUUUUUUUUAAGUUUCCUUUUUUUUUUUUUUUUUUUUUGCAAAACACAAAUUUGCAUGUGCCUGGGGC